rnacentral:rRNA from 1 species
CUUUAGUAAUUGCGAAUGAACAAGGAUAUGCUUAGCUUGACAAAUGGAGCUAUUGGCUUUGAAUUGUAUUGUGGAAAUGUAUUACCAACAGAGGUGCAGGUGCCAGCCUAUUGAAAUAAAGCGUCAAUGAGGGUGAGAAUCCUGUUUGUCAUGUGCAGCCCUUUGUGCACGGUGUAUAUUUGCUGAGUCACACUCCUUGGCAUUGGAAUGCAAAGUGGGUGGUAAGUUUCAUGUAAAGGUAAACAUGCAAUUGAGACUGAUAGCACACAAGUACCAUGAGGGAAAUAUGAAAAGGACUUUGAAAAGAGAAUUAAAUGAGUUUGUAUUUGCUGAACACAAAGUAAACAGACUUGAUUUGCUUGGUGGGAGUGUUGCACUUGCUUGACAAGAGCUUUGGGCUGUGGGUGUAAUGAUUCUUUCUUUGCAUGCCAGUUUCUAUUUGUACAUCUGAUUACCUUUGCACAUGAAUGAUAAGUCUCCUGUGGGGGGUGGAUUGCAUGUGCAUGUAAUGAUUUGUGUUUUGAUAAAUGUGUCUGGUGUAUGUGUGUGUUCCUGUGCUUGGGGAUGCUUCCUUCCUUGGACUUACAAGCCCUGACACACACAUGCUGGCAAAAUGCUUCUGCUUGACCCGUCUUGAAACACGGACCAAGGAGUCUAACAGAUGUGCAAAGUUUGAAGGUGGUAUACCUUUGUGUGCAAUGAAAGUGUCAGCUGGGAUAUGUGCACCAGCACCCAAUUAAUUAGCGGACAGAGGUUUGAGUUGGAGCAUAUCUAUUAGGACCCGAAAGAUGGUGAACUAUGCCUGAACAGAAUGAAUUCAGAGGAAACUCUGAUGGAGGUUCGUAUCGAUACUGACGUGCAAAUCGUUCGUCAUAUUUGGGUAUAGGGGCGAAAGACUAAUCGAACCAUCUAGUAGCUGGUUCCCUCCGAAGUUUCCCUCAGGAUAGCUGGAGUUGCUCAGUUUUAUCAGGUAAAGCGAAUGAUUAGAGGAAUUGGGGACAGGUUUGUCUUUGACCUAUUCUCAAACUUUAAAUGGGUAAUAUGUAGUGGUUGCUGUAUGGAACUUCUAAGAUAAAUGGCAAUAUUGGGUGGGCCAUUUUUGGUAAGCAGAACUGGCGAUGAGGGAUGAACCUAAU